AACCAAGUCUCCAUGGCCUGCCACCUAUACUUAUCAUGCAUGCACCUAAUUCACCAACACAUACAACAACUACCACCACCACACAUAAUAUUACUCCAAGUACCCCACUAUCACUGGCAUGUCCCUCUCCUAGUCACAGUAUGACACCUACUUAACAUUCUCAUUAGCUAGCAACUAAAUUGCCAUCUCAUAAGCCACCAAUGUCAUCACCUAACUCGUCCUCAUUUGCACAAGUCUUACCUCCUACAGUCCUUACCUA
rnacentral:misc_RNA from 1 species